CCUAGUAACUGCGAGUGAAACGGGAAAAGCUCAAAUUUAAAAUCUGACAGUCUUUGGCUGUUCGAGUUGUAAUCUGGAGAAGCGUCUUCCGUGCUGAACCGUGUACAAAGUCUCCUGGAACGGAGCGUCAUAGAGGGUGAGAAUCCCGUCUUUGACACGGACUACCAGUGCUUUGUGAUGCGCUCUCAAAGAGUCGAGUUGUUUGGGAAUGCAGCUCCAAAUGGGUGGUAAACUCCAUCUAAAGCUAAAUAUUGGCGAGAGACCGAUAGCGAACAAGUAACCGUGAGGGAAAGAUGAAAAGCACUUUGGAAAGAGAGUUAAACAGUACGUGAAAUUGCUGAAAGGGAAACGCUUGAAGUCAGUCGCGUUUGCUAGGACUCAGCCUUGCCUCGGCUUGGUGCAUUUCCUAGUGACGGGCCAGCAUCAUUUUUGGCUGCGGGAAAAAGGUCAGAGGAAUGUGGCACCUCCGGGUGUGUUAUAGCCUCUGGCUGUAUACCGUGGCUGGGAGUGAGGAACUCAGCAUGCCUUAAUGGCGGGGCUUCGGCCACCUUCGUGCUUAGGAUGCUGGCGUAAUGGCUUUAAACGACCCGUCUUGAAACACGGACCAAGGAGUCUAACAUGCCUGCGAGUGUUUGGGUGGAAAACCCGAGCGCGCAAUGAAAGUGAAAGUUGGGACCUCCGUCGUGGAGGGCACCGACGCCCGGACCUGAACCUCGGUGACGGCUCUGCGGUAGAGCAUGCAUGUUGGGACCCGAAAGAUGGUGAACUAUGCCUGAAUAGGGUGAAGCCAGAGGAAACUCUGGUGGAGGCUCGUAGCGAUUCUGACGUGCAAAUCGAUCGUCAAAUUUGGGUAUAGGGGCGAAAGACUAAUCGAACCAUCUAGUAGCUGGUUCCUGCCGAAGUUUCCCUCAGGAUAGCAGAAACUCGUAUCAGAUUUAUGUGGUAAAGCGAAUGAUUAGAGGCCUUGGGGUUGAAACAACCUUAACCUAUUUCAAACUUUAAAUAUGUAAGAACAACCCGUCACUUGAUUGGACCGGUUGGCGAUUGAGAGUUUCUAGUGGGCCAUUUUUGGUAAGCAGAACUGGCGAUGCGGGAUGAACCGAACGCGAGGUUAAGGUGCCUGAAUACACGCUCAUCAGACACCACA
rnacentral:rRNA from 1 species